rnacentral:tRNA from 1 species
GCAGUAGUGGCGGAAUGGCAGACGCGCUAGAUUCAGGUUCUAGUGUCCGGUAAGGACGUGUGGGUUCAACUCCCAUCUACUGCA